UUGAUCCUGCAACGCUCGUGGGGUGAUUUCCUUGAGCCUACGUUUCAGAAACGGGGGUCCGCAGUUCAGCGCGGUGUGCAUGCCUUCCGCGGGAAGGAAGCCUGAAGCGCCUGACAGGGCCCCCACCUGGUGACCCCAGGCCAAUCCGAACCGCCCCGCGGCGUUGCGGGACCUUA
rnacentral:other from 1 species